GCAAGGGAUUGCUCAGUUGGUUAGACUGUGGUGCUUAUAAUGCCAAGGUUGCGGGUUCAAUCCCUUUAUGGGACUGCUGCA